GUUUUCGCUGAUCGCGCCGGUGCCCCAUUGAGGGGCUUAAUAGGGAAUGCGGUGAUGAAUCCGCGGCUGUCCCUGCAACUGUAAGCGGUGAGCGAGACGCAUAUCGAUUCUCCGGAUCGCCGGGGGAUCAGCCACUGGGCCGGACGCUAAAUCCUGCGAGGCCUGGGAAGGCCAUGCGUCGAGCGAUGACCCGCGAGCCAGGAAACCUGCCUGCGUCUGGUCGCUCUUG
rnacentral:ncRNA from 18 species